rnacentral:lncRNA from 1 species
CUUCUGCCUUUGGAUUUAUGUAGACAAAUUGAGGUGCUGUUAAACUCUUUCUGGUGGGGGCGAAAGAACAACAGUACAGAGGCAUAAAUUGGAUGUGUUGGGAUAGACUUUGUAGACCAAAGGCUGCUGGUGGUUUAGGAUUUAAGAAAUUGCAAUUUUUAACUUGGCAAUGCUUGGGAGACAGUGCUGGAGGCUUCUAACGAGACCUAACUCUUUGGUGGCUAGAAUUUUGAAGGCAAAAUAUCACCCAAAUACUAACUUUUCUCAGGCAUCAAUUGGGAAGAAUCCGAGCUACUCUUGGCGUUCUAUUAUGGCUGCACAUGAUUUAGUUCUCAAAGGUAGUCGGAUAAGAAUUGGGAACGGGACUUCCACCCUAAUAAAAAAUGAUCCUUGGCUUCCUGACUUGUCGAAUGGUUUGGUGAGUUCUGACUUGGAUGAUGAUCUUUCAGUGGCUACUGUUAAAACUCUUUUUGUUGAUGGUAGAAGGGAAUUGGAUGUUGACUUGAUUUCCUCAACGUUUAAUGAACGAGAUAGAAAUUUAAUUCUUAAUAUCCCGCUAAGUCAGCGAAAUGAGGAAGAUGUAUGGUACUGGCUGGCGAAUACAAGUGGAGUUUACUCGGUCAAAAGUGCAUAUAGAUUGUUACUUGGUGAAGUUUCUGAUGUUGCCGGCAAUAUGUGGAGAAAAAUCUGGAAGCUUGAGGUUCCUGCUAAAGUGAGAAAUUUCGUUUGGAGAGAAGCUAGCAACGUCCUACCAACAGCAGUCAACCUUCGCUCCAAACAUGUAAGUCUAAAUGAUCUUUGCCUGGUUGGUAACUUUGAUAAAGAAAUUGUUCUUCACCUGCUGGUUGACUGUCCCUUUGCAAGAACCUGUUGGAUUAAAUCAAAAGUGGGCUUCUUUGGUAUCUAUUCAUCAUUCAAGGAUUGGCUUCAAGCUUUGUUUAGGAACUGCACUAAUGAGCAGUGCUGGAUUGCUGUUAUGGUCUGCUGGAAGCUGUGGUGCAACAGGAAUAAUCUGGUUUGGCAGGGGAAAUGCGACACAGCAAAACAGAUUGUUAAUGCAGCUGGUAAUUUGUUGUUUCAAUGGCAGUCAGCUAAAUCCUCUGUGAUUUCUAAUCAAGUCUCAAGUGAUCCAUGUGUUGGUGCUGUUGCUUGGUCUCCUCCUCGAGUGGGCUGGCUUAAAUGUAACACUGAUGCUGCAGUGUUUGCUAACGAGGGAAGAGUUGGGCUGGGCAGUGUUAUCCGUGAUGAAUCUGGAAAAUUUGUUGCUGCUCUCUGUUGUAAUAUCAGGGGAAACUAUUCUCCUCGUGAUGCUGAGGUCCUUAGCAUUCGUGAAGCUCUCUCUUGGCUGAAGUCUAUGAAGUUGUCAAAGGUUAUCGUUGAAACUGAUUGCCUUCAAGCGUUUAAUGCUCUAGUCGAUCGAAAGUGUCCUCUAAAUAGCUUUGGCUCAUUAGUUUUGGAUUGCAAAUGUAUUGCUGAUUCUAUAGGUGAUAUUGCUUUCUCUUUCGUCAGAAGAUCUGCGAAUUCUGCUUCUCACUUUGUUGCUAGAGCGGGGAAUUCUUUGCCAGGUCGUGAAGUGUGGCGUUCUGUGCCACCUUCUUGGUUAAUUUCAGUGCUGUAAUUGCUGGUUUUGUUAAUGAAAUUGCACUUUCCAUCAAAAAAAAAAAAAAUAUUGUAAUAAGAAAAUUGUUCUCUUAAGAACUCGCACUAGAAUAUUCAUAACUUAAAGAAUUUCGUUGAAAGACAAAAUUAAACUAAAAGUAAAGAAUUAUAAUCCAAC